rnacentral:rRNA from 1 species
AACGAACGCUGGCGGCAUGCCUAACACAUGCAAGUCGAACGAGACCUUCGGGUCUAGUGGCGCACGGGUGCGUAACGCGUGGGAACCUGCCCUUAGGUUCGGAAUAACUCCCCGAAAGGGGUGCUAAUACCGGAUAAUGUCUUCGGACCAAAGAUUUAUCGCCUUUGGAUGGUCCCGCGUUGGAUUAGCUAGUUGGUAGGGUAAAAGCCUACCAAGGCGACGAUCCAUAGCUGGUCUGAGAGGAUGAUCAGCCACACUGGGACUGAGACACGGCCCAGACUCCUACGGGAGGCAGCAGUGGGGAAUAUUGGACAAUGGGCGAAAGCAUGAUCCAGCAAUGCCGCGUGAGUGAUGAAGGCCUUAGGGUUGUAAAGCUCUUUUACCCGGGAUGAUAAUGACAGUACCGGGAGAAUAAGCGCCGGCUAACUCCGUG